CUCUGGAGCAAGACCCUCUCUCGGGGAGGAGCAUGACCAGGACCGGAGCCUUGCGAGGGAUCUCGGGCAACAGCAAAGCCAAGCCCGAGCCCCCCAGGCCUGCGGAUAGCCUGUCUUCUUCAUGCACAGCUGUGACUCACGCUGGGCAUGCACGCGCAAGAGCUCGGCUUUCCCUGCCUGCCUGCAUUGCCGCGGACACAGAGACUAUUUGUCUCUGCCUGGACCCCUUCCCAUUACUUCUAGCUGGGUGAAAUUAAAUGGAAAAGAAAUUCAAUUAAGACGGUCUUGUCUCACACAGAGGGAUCCUUCAAAGCCACUUUCCGCAGCUGUUAGCAGGUCUGACGGGAUUAGCGGCCCCUCUCGAGCUGUUAGCUCGGGAAGCCCACGGCAGCGGCUGGCUUUGGGGGGCUCCCCAGGGGCGCUGCGGCCGCUCCUCUGGGUCCCCCACCAGGCUGAUGGAGGAGGGACUGGAAGAGAGAGGCUUUGCAUCGCCCAGAGCACGGGGAGAGGCCCGUCCCGGAAGGCUGGGCGCACAGCGGGGACACUAGCGCUUGACCCCGUCCGCAGGAUCCGACAGGCUGGAUUUCCAGCCGGUUCUGCCACUGUGCCAGACCGUGGUGGCUCUGACCCGGAUGAAAGCGAUUCGGCGAGCGAGCUCUUCAUGGGCAGCGGUGUGCCGGGCUUUGCAGCGACCUGGGCAGCGGGAGAUAGUGGUACUUACUGCAGCUGGAGAGCGGUGGGGCAGAGCUGCUACCCCAGGCCAGGGAAACGCCGGGACGAGAGGGGCAGAAGCAAACGCAGCAGGGAGAAAAGGAGGAGCUAUACGUUUGCAGACACGCUAUUUACUCGAGACAGAGAGGANNNNNNNNNNNNNNNNNNNNNNNNNNNNNNNNNNNNNNNNNNNNCGGGUUGUCGCUGCCGCCGUGUCACAGGUAACAUCCGCGCACCUGGAGCGGACCUCAGCUCCCAGGCCCAGUACUCCCAGCGCCGGGGCCGGUUUCCGCAGGGACGUACAGGGGAUGCUGAGGGGCCGGUUCGCCCACGCGUGAAGUUUCUGCUCCCGCCCCAGUACUUUGCCGGCUCUUUGCAUCCCCCCCGUGUACUUCCUACAGCCUCGCUCAGCCUAAGGCACGGGAAAUUCAGUUGCCCACAAGACGGCGGGCCCGGGCAGGCAAACUUUCCCUCCGCCUCCGUUCAUCCAGAGACUCUGCCAGGACAAGACAGAGUGAGAGGAGGAGACCUUGCAGUACCCAACGCACUGCAGGAGACCGCGCUGCAGGCAAUGGGGCCAGCACGGCGCAUCCCAGCUCUGCAGCUCCGGGGGAGCGGAGGAGUGCGGGCAGAGGAAAAAAGAAGGAAAAAAGAAAGAAGGAAAAAAGAAAGAAGGAAAAAAGAAAGAAGGAAAAAAGAAAGAAGGAAAAAAGAAAGAAGGAAAAAAGAAAGAAGGAAAAAAGAAAGAAGGAAAAAAGAAGGAAAAAAGGAGGAAAAGUCUCCCUGCGAGACUGCGUCCUCCCUCCGAAGGGGACCCUGAGACGGCAGCGGGUGCCGUUCUCCCUGCAGGAAGGCGUCGGAAGUUCACCGGGGUCAUUCGUGCCGUCCCCAGUUUCUCCGGGCACGUCUAGCGCCUACGUCUGGCACGCGCGGAGGUACGGCACCUCUGCAGCCCCGGGCCCUCGGCGGCACAGCAGGAGGGGCAGGAAGAGGUCAGAGGCGGAGAAGAAAGGCAAAAACCAGCGUUUGCAAACGUUUGGGCUGCAGCGAGCAUAAAAGAACAUCCAGCAUCAACCGCGAGCGCCGCCAGAACGCGCCGGCUCCAUCCUUUGCCAACAGCCGGAAGCAAAACGCUGUCGCGCUCCGCGCGGCAGGGCAGACCCCCAGCGGCUGCCCCCGCUCCCUCUCCCCCAGAGAUCAUUAAGGGGAAACGUUUAGAGAAAUCAAACGCUUUUUUUUUUUUCCCUCCCCCCUCUGCUUCUAAGGCUAAUAGGGAAAACCAAGCUGAUUUGCGGGAGAACAACAUUUAGCAAUCUCUAAUUCAUCAAAGUCCCCGUCUGUUCUCAUUGUCAUGCUGACUCUGUCAAAAAUCAGCCUUCCUCCAAACGCCGCCGCUUUUAACGG
ensembl:lncRNA